ACAACACUCUUCCCUCUCGUUGCUAUGCAUCACCAUGAUCUUGCGUGUGCGUAGGAAUUUUUUUGAAAUUACUACGUUCCCCAACAACCCCGAUACUUUACUAAUGACCCAUGUUAACGGAAUACUUUUGUUGCAAACAUUUUUGUUAGUUGUCUUUUCAUUUUAUUUAUUUGUAAUCAGGGUUGGAUAGUGACUUUGAGUGUGCUUCUUCACUAAAAGAGGUGUUCCACAAAUUUUCACUUGUUUCAGAAUGGAAUAAUCUCAUGGAUUGUAUGAAAAACUAAAUUUAGUUAUUUCAAUAUGCAUAAUGUUUGGUUUCGGUAAUUCUGAUGGCCAGGCACUAUACUGCGCAUAAGUAAAAUUUCCAGUUUUUUUUGUGUGGUCAGUACCAGAACUUAUAAAGAAUGUUAGCUUCCGAUUGGACCCUUGCUGAUUCAUUUCGACCACAGUACUAGAACCCAGGUUGUUACAACACCACUUUGUAGUUUUGUUCCUCAGUAGAAAGUCGCUUAGCUGACGUUAUAGCAUGAGGUCUGUUGAACUUUCCCUGUCAUGCCUUUGGUUCCUACACGAUGUUGCAUUUGCCUGGCAAUGUCGUGUCUCUCUAGACACAGGUGAAUGCACUGGACUUUUUGAGGUCGAGGCCACCAACAGCAUAUGCCAAGGGCGUCCAUUGACAACCUGCCCAAUGCUGGAUUCACCGAGGAGGUACAACCGGACACGUUGUCGGCUGCCUGCUCGUCUGGAAACUACACAAUAUCUCUGAACCCACUAUCCUCUAAUGCAUGAAUCUCUAUGCUCAAUUGGGCUACAACUAAUUUAUCAUCGUUUCAUCUUAUUGCAAACAUCAUGUUUUUUCAUUGAAAGAAAGAAUAUUAAGAAAUAUUUUCUCAUUCUAUUGUAGCAAUAGCGAAUGUACGAAUAGUGAUACUGUGUUCGACCGUUUGUUCUUGUGGCUUCCUGGCCAUGGGCGCUUUACUGCUUUGUUCCAGAAAAAACCUGAAAAACUAUAAUGUUACUUGCAGUGGUGAUGAUAGCGGGUCUUCCGAAUCGCUUCCUUAGCCUAACAACGCAACCUACAAACCAACUGUUAUCAACAUCAGUAUGAUGCUGCUAUGUAGGACCUUCGCAUCGUUGCAUGAAAGCCAAGAAAAAAAGAAAAAGGAGCAUACAUCACAUGUAUUUCUCGGUCAGUUUUACCCAGAAAUAUCUCCGCCGUUGUAUGACUUGCCAAUAAAAUCUAGAGAUGGAAAUCCCUGCAUCAAAGCCCAUCUAAUCAAAGGAGUCUAUAACAGGGCAACAAUUACCAGAGACUGGGCAGGCUUCUCCCCCACAGCUAAUAUGAAGGAACGAGAAAUAUAUGCCUUCGCCUUCAAGCGCAACUACAAGCGCUUGCGUCUCACCGUGCAUGCCCUCUGAGCAUCGUGUUCAGUCUACUAAACUACGUAAUUAGCCUAUGAAGUUCUUUGUGUAUAGCUUCACCCUAAGAACAUGUUUGCUUUUAGCACUGGAC